rnacentral:rRNA from 1 species
UACGGGGGGGGCAAGCGUUGUUCGGAAUUACUGGGCGUAAAGGGCUCGUAGGCGGCCAACUAAGUCGGAUGUGAAAUCCCCAGGCUCAACCUGGGAACUGCAUCCGAUACUGGAUGGCUUGAAUUCGGGAGAGGGAUGCAGAAUUCCAGGUGUAGCGGUGAAAUGCGUAGAUAUCUGGAGGAAUACCGGUGGCGAAGGCGGCAUCCUGGACCGACAUUGACGCUGAGGAGCGAAAGCCAGGGGGAGCAAACGGGG